GGAUCCAGACUUUGAUUAUGGCUCAGGAUGAACGCUAGCUACAGGCUUAACACAUGCAAGUCGAGGGGCAGCAUGGUCUUAGCUUGCUAAGACUGAUGGCGACCGGCGCACGGGUGAGUAACACGUAUCCAACCUGCCGUCUACUCUUGGACAGCCUUCUGAAAGGAAGAUUAAUACAAGAUGGCAUCAUGAGUCCGCAUGUUCACAUGAUUAAAGGUAUUCCGGUAGACGAUGGGGAUGCGUUCCAUUAGAUAGUAGGCGGGGUAACGGCCCACCUAGUCUUCGAUGGAUAGGGGUUCUGAGAGGAAGGUCCCCCACAUUGGAACUGAGACACGGUCCAAACUCCUACGGGAGGCAGCAGUGAGGAAUACUGGUCAAUGGGCGAGAGCCUGAACCAGCCAAGUAGCGUGAAGGAUGACUGCCCUAUGGGUUGUAAACUUCUUUUAUAAAGGAAUAAAGUCGGGUAUGCAUACCCGUUUGCAUGUACUUUAUGAAUAAGGAUCGGCUAACUCCGUGCCAGCAGCCGCGGUAAUACGGAGGAUCCGAGCGUUAUCCGGAUUUAUUGGGUUUAAAGGGAGCGUAGAUGGAUGUUUAAGUCAGUUGUGAAAGUUUGCGGCUCAACCGUAAAAUUGCAGUUGAUACUGGAUAUCUUGAGUGCAGUUGAGGCAGGCGGAAUUCGUGGUGUAGCGGUGAAAUGCUUAGAUAUCACGAAGAACUCCGAUUGCGAAGGCAGCCUGCUAAGCUGCAACUGACAUUGAGGCUCGAAAGUGUGGGUAUCAAACAGGAUUAGAUACCCUGGUAGUCCACACGGUAAACGAUGAAUACUCGCUGUUUGCGAUAUACGGCAAGCGGCCAAGCGAAAGCGUUAAGUAUUCCACCUGGGGAGUACGCCGGCAACGGUGCAACUCAAAUGAAUUGACGG
rnacentral:rRNA from 1 species